GAUGAACGCUAGCGGCAGGCCUAAUACAUGCAAGCCGAACGGCAAGAACUUUAGCAAUAAGGUUCCUAGAGUGGCGUAAGGGUGCGUAACACGUAUGCAAUCUGCCCGCAACAGGAGGAUAGCUCCCCGAAAGGGGAAUUAACCCUCCAUAGAACCACACGAGGGCAUCCGAGAGUGGUUAAACCAAAGGGGUUGCGGAUGAGCAUGCGGUUGAUUAGCUAGUUGGUAGUGUAAUGGACUACCAAGGCAAUGAUCAAUAGGGGAACUGAG
rnacentral:rRNA from 1 species